rnacentral:rRNA from 2 species
UUAAGCGACUAAGCGUACACGGUGGAUGCCCUGGCAGUCAGAGGCGAUGAAGGACGUGCUAAUCUGCGAUAAGCGUCGGUAAGGUGAUAUGAACCGUUAUAACCGGCGAUUUCCGAAUGGGGAAACCCAGUGUGUUUCGACACACUAUCAUUAACUGAAUCCAUAGGUUAAUGAGGCGAACCGGGGGAACUGAAACAUCUAAGUACCCCGAGGAAAAGAAAUCAACCGAGAUUCCCCCAGUAGCGGCGAGCGAACGGGGAGCAGCCCAGAGCCUGAAUCAGUAUGUGUGUUAGUGGAAGCGUCUGGAAAGGCGCGCGAUACAGGGUGACAGCCCCGUACACAAAAAUGCACAUAUUGUGAGCUCGAUGAGUAGGGCGGGACACGUGGUAUCCUGUCUGAAUAUGGGGGGACCAUCCUCCAAGGCUAAAUACUCCUGACUGACCGAUAGUGAACCAGUACCGUGAGGGAAAGGCGAAAAGAACCCCGGCGAGGGGAGUGAAAAAGAACCUGAAACCGUGUACGUACAAGCAGUGGGAGCACGCUUAGGCGUGUGACUGCGUACCUUUUGUAUAAUGGGUCAGCGACUUAUAUUCUGUAGCAAGGUUAACCGAAUAGGGGAGCCGAAGGGAAACCGAGUCUUAACUGGGCGUUAAGUUGCAGGGUAUAGACCCGAAACCCGGUGAUCUAGCCAUGGGCAGGUUGAAGGUUGGGUAACACUAACUGGAGGACCGAACCGACUAAUGUUGAAAAAUUAGCGGAUGACUUGUGGCUGGGGGUGAAAGGCCAAUCAAACCGGGAGAUAGCUGGUUCUCCCCGAAAGCUAUUUAGGUAGCGCCUCGUGAAUUCAUCUCCGGGGGUAGAGCACUGUUUCGGCAAGGGGGUCAUCCCGACUUACCAACCCGAUGCAAACUGCGAAUACCGGAGAAUGUUAUCACGGGAGACACACGGCGGGUGCUAACGUCCGUCGUGAAGAGGGAAACAACCCAGACCGCCAGCUAAGGUCCCAAAGUCAUGGUUAAGUGGGAAACGAUGUGGGAAGGCCCAGACAGCCAGGAUGUUGGCUUAGAAGCAGCCAUCAUUUAAAGAAAGCGUAAUAGCUCACUGGUCGAGUCGGCCUGCGCGGAAGAUGUAACGGGGCUAAACCAUGCACCGAAGCUGCGGCAGCGACACUAUGUGUUGUUGGGUAGGGGAGCGUUCUGUAAGCCUGUGAAGGUGUGCUGUGAGGCAUGCUGGAGGUAUCAGAAGUGCGAAUGCUGACAUAAGUAACGAUAAAGCGGGUGAAAAGCCCGCUCGCCGGAAGACCAAGGGUUCCUGUCCAACGUUAAUCGGGGCAGGGUGAGUCGACCCCUAAGGCGAGGCCGAAAGGCGUAGUCGAUGGGAAACAGGUUAAUAUUCCUGUACUUGGUGUUACUGCGAAGGGGGGACGGAGAAGGCUAUGUUGGCCGGGCGACGGUUGUCCCGGUUUAAGCGUGUAGGCUGGUUUUCCAGGCAAAUCCGGAAAAUCAAGGCUGAGGCGUGAUGACGAGGCACUACGGUGCUGAAGCAACAAAUGCCCUGCUUCCAGGAAAAGCCUCUAAGCAUCAGGUAACAUCAAAUCGUACCCCAAACCGACACAGGUGGUCAGGUAGAGAAUACCAAGGCGCUUGAGAGAACUCGGGUGAAGGAACUAGGCAAAAUGGUGCCGUAACUUCGGGAGAAGGCACGCUGAUAUGUAGGUGAAGCGACUUGCUCGUGGAGCUGAAAUCAGUCGAAGAUACCAGCUGGCUGCAACUGUUUAUUAAAAACACAGCACUGUGCAAACACGAAAGUGGACGUAUACGGUGUGACGCCUGCCCGGUGCCGGAAGGUUAAUUGAUGGGGUUAGCGGUAACGCGAAGCUCUUGAUCGAAGCCCCGGUAAACGGCGGCCGUAACUAUAACGGUCCUAAGGUAGCGAAAUUCCUUGUCGGGUAAGUUCCGACCUGCACGAAUGGCGUAAUGAUGGCCAGGCUGUCUCCACCCGAGACUCAGUGAAAUUGAACUCGCUGUGAAGAUGCAGUGUACCCGCGGCAAGACGGAAAGACCCCGUGAACCUUUACUAUAGCUUGACACUGAACAUUGAGCCUUGAUGUGUAGGAUAGGUGGGAGGCUUAGAAGUGUGGACGCCAGUCUGCAUGGAGCCGACCUUGAAAUACCACCCUUUAAUGUUUGAUGUUCUAACGUUGACCCGUAAUCCGGGUUGCGGACAGUGUCUGGUGGGUAGUUUGACUGGGGCGGUCUCCUCCUAAAGAGUAACGGAGGAGCACGAAGGUUGGCUAAUCCUGGUCGGACAUCAGGAGGUUAGUGCAAUGGCAUAAGCCAGCUUGACUGCGAGCGUGACGGCGCGAGCAGGUGCGAAAGCAGGUCAUAGUGAUCCGGUGGUUCUGAAUGGAAGGGCCAUCGCUCAACGGAUAAAAGGUACUCCGGGGAUAACAGGCUGAUACCGCCCAAGAGUUCAUAUCGACGGCGGUGUUUGGCACCUCGAUGUCGGCUCAUCACAUCCUGGGGCUGAAGUAGGUCCCAAGGGUAUGGCUGUUCGCCAUUUAAAGUGGUACGCGAGCUGGGUUUAGAACGUCGUGAGACAGUUCGGUCCCUAUCUGCCGUGGGCGCUGGAGAACUGAGGGGGGCUGCUCCUAGUACGAGAGGACCGGAGUGGACGCAUCACUGGUGUUCGGGUUGUCAUGCCAAUGGCACUGCCCGGUAGCUAAAUGCGGAAGAGAUAAGUGCUGAAAGCAUCUAAGCACGAAACUUGCCCCGAGAUGAGUUCUCCCUGACUCCUUGAGAGUCCUGAAGGAACGUUGAAGACGACGACGUUGAUAGGCCGGGUGUGUAAGCGCAGCGAUGCGUUGAGCUAACCGGUACUAAUGAACCGUGAGGCUUAACCUU